rnacentral:lncRNA from 1 species
AUGAUUAAAGCUUUCACAACAGUUCCUCUUUCUCGGUUCUCGCUCUCUCGAACGUGGAGCAUACCAGAAGACGGCAGAUGUGAGGAAGAAGACGGUCUUCGCGAAGGUAAAUCUCACGGAAACCCUAAGUUUCUUUAUGAUUCUAAUUGAUAGUUUAUCCGCAUUCCUUGAUGAUGUAGCCAAAGAGGUACGGCGACCUUGUUCUAUGUGAAAUCUUAAGUUUAAGUUAGGGUUUCGCUUCGUCCUCUAAUGGUGUAGAGAUCAGAGUAAUUUUCGCCUAUUGUUUAUUUCUGUGAGCAGCGUUGAUAAUAUAGACAAGGGAUUGGAAAUUCUAAUUACGGAUUCCAUGAAUGAUCAAAGCCUUUCUCAUUUCUAAUCCACUCAUUAUUUAAUUAUGCCUCUUUUCUUCUCUGGAUUAACUAAAGAUAAAGUCUCCUUGAAAACCGCCAUGAAGAAGAAGAAUUGAUCUCUUGCAUUUUGAAUUAAUUAUGCCUCUUUUCUUCUCUGGAUUAACUAAAGAUAAAGUCUCCUUGAAAACCGCCAUGAAGAAGAAGAAUUGAUCUCUUGCAUUGUGAACCAUAAUUAGUCUUGUGUAUAGGAUUUAAUUUUUAAGCUCUGAGACAGUUCCUAAUCUUUAGUGUUAGUGUAUCUCUUGUAUUUUUAGCUUUUGAUUAUUCUAAACCGAAGUGCUGAUGCAGGCAUAAAACCCAGCUUUGGGCUUUUACUUGGGAACAUGGAAUUUUUAUCAACUGGCUAAUUGAAGCGAGUAUUAUUAGUUCACUGUAAUAAAAAAAAUUCAACUUGAUUUUGCCUUUUCAAUUAUUCUUCCCCAUGUAGAGUUCUUUACCUUGAUCGUUGCUUAUAUGGUUGUUGGUGCACUUUCAAAUUUGAUCUGACGCCUAAGACUCUCUACCUUGCAGUGAACUUGUUAGAUUGCUAAUACAGAGGAAAUGCGUAGUUGAUCGGUCUCACUGCAUUUUUUCUUACAUCUAAGUAGGAGGACUAUUGGCAUCACAGGGUAAGAGAUAUUAAGAUUUACACUUAUGUACUGUUUUCAAACUAGCGGAAUAUCUUCCCCCUAUCCAUUCAGAUCAUAAAUUUCAUUAGCAUCCCAAACUUGUUUUGAGAUUGUUUGGACAUGACCUCAGCAAGAGGUAUUAUAUAUAUAUACCUUGCUUUAUUAUUUUCACUCUUCUUAUCGAUUGCUUACCUGAAUCUUACAGGGGAGAGCAGCCAAUAUGAUUAACUUUUUCUUCGCAUCCCUUCGGGCAAAAGGUAAAAAUCUCUGGCUUAUGAUUCCUUUUACUUCAUAUGGGUGACUUCAAAAAACUCAUGUUCAUCACCCACAAUGAUGCAUAGAAAUCUGACUUCUUUGGAUUACCCCAAGUUGUCCUACUUUGAUAUUCCCUUUGAGAUUAAGAGAGAAUGUGAACCUGGUAUAUUAUGCUGGCAUACAUUGUGUCUGGUUUCAAGGGAUAUAAUUCUGCUUGAUCGUAAAGACAAAUCAUCAUCAAUGUGUAUUAUAUAACAAAACAACUGUAAUGAAUUCUGUUUACAUUCAAUAGGCAAGUUGUACAAGCUCAUGAGUAUUAUUGGUUCCCUACCCUCUUUGAUAUUUGAAAACCUAAGUCAACCACAUCUACUCAUCUGCAUAUGCUUGCACACAUAUUUAUACUAUCUGCAAUGUAACAGUAUAUAUAUACGCCUGAGUGUUGCCUAACGGCACUAUGAGCAUGCGACGAAAUGGUCUUGCACAAGCAUGUGCUCUUCUUGCUUGUCUAAUGUCCUUUGCACUGCUUUGUAGAACUCAAUCCAAGAAGAUGAGUAUGAAUCCACGGCGCCAAACAUGAAAGUUGGAUUGGGGCUUGCAGGGCAAGCAGUGACCAAAUCCAAAACAGAAGUUGCAGGUUUGAGCUGGUGAGGGAAGUUGAAGGCCAAGUUAUCGACUUUAUGCUCAUAGAUUUUGCCGUUUCGGUCAAGUUUAUAGCGAGAAGUACCCUGAAACUCACCCUUUGCCUCCCAUGGAACUGGAGGUACACCUUUAAGAUUCCACCUGAUGAGAAUCAUGUUCUCUGAUGGUUGCCAAACCCUGA